UGCUUGAUACAUGCAAGUCAAGGAGAACAUUAUCUUCGGAUAAUAAGUAAACUGGCGAACGGGUGAGUAACGCGUAAACAACUUGCCUCAGAGAUUGGGACAACAUUGGGAAACCAGUGCUAAUACCAAAUAAUGCAGCGGGCUCUUCGGAGCACAGUUGUUAAAGUAGGCUUCGGCUUACACUUUGAGAUAGGUUUGCGUCCGAUUAGUUAGUUGGUAGGGUAAAAGCCUACCAAGACCAAGAUCGGUAGCUGGUCUGAGAGGAUGAUCAGCCACACUGGAAUUGAGAUACGGUCCAGACUCCUACGGGAGGCAGCAGUAAGGAAUUUUGCACAAUGGGCGAAAGCCUGAUGCAGCAACGCCGCGUGAACGAUGAAGUUUUUAGGAAUGUAAAGUUCUGUCGUAUGGGAAGAGAUCUUUCGAAUGUUAAUACCAUUCGUUAAUGACGGUACCAUACAAGAAAGC
rnacentral:rRNA from 1 species